UGAGUGCCCUGAAAAAUAAAAAAAUAAUCGCAAUGGAUUAUAAUGCCACAAAAGGAGGGUGGACCAUUUAGACAAGCUGGUGACUGGCUACAGCUGCGAACAUUGGGUGAAUAACAGCAUGAACACUACACAAGGGUUAUAGGGCCUCUCCACUGAAGCGCUUCCCUACCUGGCUCCACUCUUCUCCACCUGCUUUUUCUCUGGUUAGUUAUAGGGCCUCUCCACCGAAGCGCUUCCCGACCUAGCCUCCACUCUUCUGCCAUCGCAUGGACCCCCGCCGUCAAUCUCAUUUAGGUUUCCGCUCUCUUUCUUUUGCUCUGCUGGCGAGGAUUGUAUUUCACUUGUUUUUGACUGUGGGUUCUAGUGCUAGCUGGUUUAGAGUAGGCUAGUUGGGCUCUGGCUUGCUGCUUUGCUAACCAUGGGUGUUUCUGUGUGGAUUCAUCUGUAAUUUUAUUUGAUCUAAAUUGCUGUCAUGCACCUGCCCACGGGCUCCUCUCUGUUCCUCCUGUUUGCUCUCUGCCCUGGAAUAGUAUGGAUUCCCACUCCCUGUUUUAUCCCGACCAAAUACUACUCCCCCCUGAUUUUCGUCGCAUGAAUAAUAACUAUCGGCUCCGGCUCUCCUAUGAUGUCCUUAUCCCGCCCACUCAUCGGGCAUCCUACGUAGACGCUGCUACCUGCAUCAUAGCUCACGUCGCAACCGGUCUGUCAACUAUACUACUGGUAGCAACAUUAACUCUCUCUCGUCUCACUCACACCCUACUUCCAAUCCAUCUUGUACAGUAAACCAUGACUGCCUACGUCCCCUUCAACCUACUGUACCACUAUCCAUAAACUCACCUCUGUUUCACAAUACUAACUUUGCUCGCCUCAACACUCGAUCAAUGAACAAAGCCCCCUUGCUCCAUGAACUAAUAUCUGACAACAAGCUAGACUUCCUCCUCCUAACUGAAACUUGGCAACAACCCAGUGAUUUAUUUUCUCUUAACCAAGCUACUCCUGCUGGUUAUGGCUACCUGUGUCACCCCCACUCCACCAGCCGUGGUGGCGCCCUUGCUCUACUGUAUACUGUAACUGUAAAUCAAAAUAGCUGAACUCUGUCCCUACUAUCUCAUUUGAAUACAUUGCUUACAAAUCAUCCUGCUCUAUUACCACUAUCCUUGUGUACUGUCUUCCUAAAGCUAAUGAAUCAUUCCUGUCUGGACUACUCACCAUUGCUGUCCCACUCUCCCCCUGCUUGGAGAUGAUUCAUAUUUACAUGGACUCAUCUCACUCAAAACCUGCCUCUUUCAUUGCUGUUCUGGACUGUUAAUAUUACCCAACUUGUCAGUUUUCCCGAUCACAUCAAGGGACACAUACCAGAUCUCAUCUUCUCUGUUGGCCUCAACUUAACUAAUAUUUCCCCCUCUCUGUUCCCACUAUCUGACCACAAGAUACUUAAUUUCUCCCCUCAUACUCACCCCACAACACUGACAAAUGCCUUAUCUCCUUCCAUAACAUCAAAGCUGUUGGCCUCCUCCAACUCUGAUGCCAAUUGCGCUGCCCUGCCCCUUGACCACACCCCCCAACACACCUGGUGAACUAUCUGCUCAAUUCAAACACUGCUCUGUCUCCCUCAACUCUCUGGACCCAAUCCAAACUAAACCUGUUUCCUUCUCCUCCCCCUGGUUUACCCCUGAGCUCUGCGCCCUGAAGCAAGCUGGCUGCCAACUGGAGCGCCUGAGCUGGAAGUCUGGGCUCACUGCCCACGCUGAGGCCUACAAACUACCUCUCCACCAACAGAUGCUGCCAGGUCUGCCUACUUCUCAAACAUCAUUCAAUAAGAACUCCCAGACUGUUCUCGACUGUCAGCAAACCACUUCAGCCCAUGAUGACACCUUCUCUACUUCCUCCACUGAACUCUGCAACUCCUUCCUUCAGUUUUUCAAGGACAAGUUCACCCAAAUAAACUCAUCACUGACUGAUAAUUCUCCCUCAGCCGCACCUUCCCCUGUUAACCUCCCAACCGUCACCCCUGAAACCCGUCUCAGAAUUCGCCCCAUCUCAAAACUCAUGUCAUCCAAGACUACAACUUGCUCCCUGGAUCCUCUCCACUUUUCUCAUCAAAGUCUGCUCGCUGUCCAUAUAUCGUACACAUCUCUAAUCUCUCCCUUGCCCACGGAACUGUCCCCUCCAACUGCAAAACAGCUGCUAUCACCACCAUCUUAAAAAUGCUAGGGCUAGACCCUACCAUCCUCAAUAACUUCCACCCCAUUACCAACCUUUCCUUCCUUGCCAAGACUCUGGAACGGACUGUUGCCUCUUAAUUACAAACCCACCUGCUAAUCAUCAACCUAUUCAGAGCCCUCCCAUUCUGGUUUCCACUCCCUCCACAGUACUGAAACUGCAAUCCUCAAAGUUGUCAAUGACCACCUCUGCUGAUGCCCUCAACAUCCUGAUUCUCCUCGACCUGAGUGUGGUUUUUGACACAAUGAGCCAUCAAAUCCUCCUCACUGGGCUUGAGGGUCUGGGUGUUGAGAGCACCACAUUCUCCUGGCUACAAUCAUACCUCACAAAUUGGACCCACUACAUCUCCCUCAAUGACCACAUGUCAGACUCAGCUGCUCUUCAUUUACAUCCUCCCCCUUGGUCAGAUUCUCUGUCACUUCAACCUUGACUUCCACUGCUAUGCCGAUGACGCCCAGAUCUACCUCGUCACCAUAUCCCACCUCUGACCCUCAUUGAAUCGUGCCUCUGCAGUAAAAAAUGAAUGCAAAGAAACUUCAAGGUCAACAGUGAUAAACAGAACUCCUCCUCAUAGGCACCAAAUCUAACCUCACCAAAGCUGGCAACCUUAUCAUUGAUGACACCACUGUCUCUCCUUCCCUCCCCUGGGCACACAACCUUGGUGUCAUCCUGCUUGAAAAUAUGGAGAGGUACUCAGUAAUGUGUUAUGUUUGGGACAAAUCCACUAAAACACUUUGUUUUCAGGACAAAAAGUUCAUUGCUUUGCCAAUUUUUUUUUGCAGUAUCACUUUAGUGUGCCUUGUUGCAAACAGGAUGCAUGUUUUUGAGAACCCCCUCUCAAAUAAUCUGUACAAGUUUCCUUUUCACUCUGUCAAUUAGGUUAGUAUUGUGGAGUUACUACAAUGUUGUUUAUCCAUUUGAUCUUAUCACAGCCAUUAAACUCUGUAACUCUCUGUAAAGUCA